rnacentral:rRNA from 2 species
AGAGUUUGAUCCUGGCUCAGGAUGAACGCUGGCGGCGUGCCUAACACAUGCAAGUCGAACGAAGCUUGACGGAUGAUUUCUUCGGAAUGAAACCUGAUAUGACUUAGUGGCGGACGGGUGAGUAACACGUGAGCAACCUGCCUUUCAGAGGGGGAUAACGGCUGGAAACGGUCGCUAAUACCGCAUGACGUGUUCGGAUGGCAUCAUCUGAACAUCAAAGAUUUAUCGCUGAAAGAUGGGCUCGCGUCUGAUUAGAUAGUUGGUGGGGUAACGGCCUACCAAGUCUACGAUCAGUAGCCGGACUGAGAGGUUGAACGGCCACAUUGGGACUGAGAUACGGCCCAGACUCCUACGGGAGGCAGCAGUGGGGAAUAUUGCACAAUGGGGGAAACCCUGAUGCAGCAACGCCGCGUGAAGGAUGACGGUUUUCGGAUUGUAAACUUCUUUUCUUAGUGACGAAGACAGUGACGGUAGCUAAGGAAUAAGCAUCGGCUAACUACGUGCCAGCAGCCGCGGUAAUACGUAGGAUGCAAGCGUUAUCCGGAUUUACUGGGUGUAAAGGGAGCGCAGGCGGGACUGCAAGUUGGAUGUGAAAUACCGUGGCUUAACCACGGAACUGCAUCCAAAACUGUAGUUCUUGAGUGAAGUAGAGGCAAGCGGAAUUCCGAGUGUAGCGGUGAAAUGCGUAGAUAUUCGGAGGAACACCAGUGGCGAAGGCGGCUUGCUGGGCUUUAACUGACGCUGAGGCUCGAAAGUGUGGGGAGCAAACAGGAUUAGAUACCCUGGUAGUCCACACUGUAAACGAUGAUAGCUAGGUGUGGGGGGUCUGACCCCUUCCGUGCCGGAGUUAACGCAAUAAGCUAUCCACCUGGGGAGUACGACCGCAAGGUUGAAACUCAAAGGAAUUGACGGGGGCC